rnacentral:rRNA from 1 species
GGGGAAUAUUGGACAAUGGGCGAAAGCCUGAUCCAGCCAUGCCGCGUGAGUGAUGAAGGCCCUAGGGUUGUAAAGCUCUUUCAACGGUGAAGAUAAUGACGGUAACCGUAGAAGAAGCCCCGGCUAACUUCGUGCCAGCAGCCGCGGUAAUACGAAGGGGGCUAGCGUUGUUCGGAAUUACUGGGCGUAAAGCGCACGUAGGCGGAUUGUUAAGUGAGGGGUGAAAUCCCAGGGCUCAACCCUGGAACUGCCUUUCAUACUGGCAAUCUCGAGUCCGGAAGAGGUGAGUGGAAUUCCGAGUGUAGAGGUGAAAUUCGUAGAUAUUCGGAGGAACACCAGUGGCGAAGGCGGCUCACUGGUCCGGUACUGACGCUGAGGUGCGAAAGCGUGGGGAGCAAAC